UACGGAGGAUCCAAGCGUUAUCCGGAAUCAUUGGGUUUAAAGGGUCCGUAGGCGGUUUUAUACGUCAGUGGUGAAAUCCGGCAGCUCAACUGUCGAACUGCCAUUGAUACUGUAGAACUUGAAUUACUGUGAAGUAACUAGAAUAUGUAGUGUAGCGGUGAAAUGCUUAGAUAUUACAUGGAAUACCAAUUGCGAAGGCAGGUUACUAACAUUAUAUUGACGCUGAUGGACGAAAGCGUGGGGAGCGAACAGG
rnacentral:rRNA from 1 species